AGAGUUUGAUCCUGGCUCAGGACGAACGCUGGCGGUGUGCUUCACACAUGCAAGUCGAACGGAGUAGCAAUACUCAGUGGCGGACGGGUGAGUAACACGUGGGAAUCUACCAUUAGGUGGGGAAUAACAGGCCGAAAGGACUGCUAAUGCCGCAUAUGUAGGCAUCUCGACAGAGAUGUUUAUGAAAGGAGUAAUCCGCCUUUUGAUGAGCCCGCGUCCGAUUAGCUAGUUGGUAGGGUAAAAGCCUACCAAGGCGACGAUCGGUAGGCGGUCUGAGAGGAUGAUCACCCACAAUGGGACUGAGACACGGCCCAUACUCCUACGGGAGGCAGCAGUGGGGAAUUUUACGCAAUGGGGGAAACCCUGACGUAGCGACACCGCGUGAGCGAAGAAGCCCUUUGGGGUGUAAAGCUCUGUCAACAGGAACGAAACAAAUGACGGUACCUGUGGAGGAAGCAUCGGCUAACUACGUGCCAGCAGCCGCGGUAAGACGUAGGAUGCAAGCGUUGUCCGGAUUUAUUGGGCGUAAAGAGUUCGUAGGCGGUUUGUUAAGUCUGAUGUUAAAGACCGGGGCUCAACCUCGGAAAUGCAUUGGAUACUGGCAGACUGGAGUGCAGUAGAGGCUAGUGGAAUUCCCAGUGUAGCGGUGAAAUGCGUAGA
rnacentral:rRNA from 1 species